rnacentral:rRNA from 1 species
AGAAGGGAGCUUGUUCCCGGAUGUUAGCGGCGGACGGGUGAGUAACACGUGGGUAACCUGCCUGUAAGACUGGGAUAACUCCGGGAAACCGGAGCUAAUACCGGAUAGUUCCUUGAACCGCAUGGUUCAAGGAUGAAAGACGGUUUCGGCUGUCACUUACAGAUGGACCCGCGGCGCAUUAGCUAGUUGGUGGGGUAAUGGCUCACCAAGGCGACGAUGCGUAGCCGACCUGAGAGGGUGAUCGGCCACACUGGGACUGAGACACGGCCCAGACUCCUACGGGAGGCAGCAGUAGGGAAUCUUCCGCAAUGGACGAAAGUCUGACGGAGCAACGCCGCGUGAGUGAUGAAGGUUUUCGGAUCGUAAAGCUCUGUUGUUAGGGAAGAACAAGUGCGAGAGUAACUGCUCGCACCUUGACGGUACCUAACCAGAAAGCCACGGCUAACUACGUGCCAGCAGCCGCGGUAAUACGUAGGUGGCAAGCGUUGUCCGGAAUUAUUGGGCGUAAAGGGCUCGCAGGCGGUUUCUUAAGUCUGAUGUGAAAGCCCCCGGCUCAACCGGGGAGGGUCAUUGGAAACUGGGAAACUUGAGUGCAGAAGAGGAGAGUGGAAUUCCACGUGUAGCGGUGAAAUGCGUAGAGAUGUGGAGGAACACCAGUGGCGAAGGCGACUCUCUGGUCUGUAACUGACGCUGAGGAGCGAAAGCGUGGGGAGCGAACAGGAUUAGAUACCCUGGUAGUCCACGCCGUAAACGAUGAGUGCUAAGUGUUAGGGGGUUUCCGCCCCUUAGUGCUGCAGCUAACGCAUUAAGCACUCCGCCUGGGGAGUACGGUCGCAAGACUGAAACUCAAAGGAAUUGACGGGGGCCCGCACAAGCGGUGGAGCAUGUGGUUUAAUUCGAAGCAACGCGAAGAACCUUACCAGGUCUUGACAUCCUCUGACAACCCUAGAGAUAGGGCUUUCCCUUCGGGGACAGAGUGACAGGUGGUGCAUGGUUGUCGUCAGCUCGUGUCGUGAGAUGUUGGGUUAAGUCCCGCAACGAGCGCAACCCUUGAUCUUAGUUGCCAGCAUUCAGUUGGGCACUCUAAGGUGACUGCCGGUGACAAACCGGAGGAAGGUGGGGAUGAC